CUCCAUGUAACCUGACAAUCACGCAUUAUCUCUACGAAAAUCACACAUUUAAUGCAAACAUCAGGCAUUUUCUCAUUGAGAAUCCGCGAUUUAACUGAAAAUCACACAUUUUCUCUUGAAAAAUCCCCUAUUUAACCGAAAAUCACGCCUUUUCUUGCAAAUAUCCCCACUUAACACAAAAAUCAUGCCUUUUCUCUAUGAAAAUCCCCCAUCUAAAAAGAAAAUCAUGCAUUUCGUUUGGAAAAUCCCCCAUUUAAGUGAAAAUCGCACAUUUGGCUUCGAAAACCCCCAAUUUAACCUGAAACGAAGCAUUUCCUCUUCGAAAACCCCCCAUUUUACCCGAAAAUCAUGCAUUUUCCCUUCCAAAAUACCCCAUUUAAACAAAAAUCACACAUUUUCUCUUUCAGAAUCCCUGAUUUAAACUGAAAAUCACGCAUAUUCUCUACAAAACUUGCUGUUUAAACCAAAAAUUGCGCGUUUUCUCUUCAACAAUCCCCCGUUUAACCCCAAAAUCACGCAUUUUCUCUUGGAAAACCCCCCAUUUAACUCAAAAACCUCACCUUUUCUCUUGGAAAAUACGCAUUUACCCCCAAAUCAUGCAUUUUCUCUCCAAAAAUACCCCAUUAACCCCAAAAGCACACAUUUUCUCCUCAGAAAUCCCCCUUUUAACCCCCAAAUCACACAUUUUCUCUUGGAAAAUCCCCCAUUUACCCCAAAAUCAUGCUUUAUCUCUUCAAAAAUACCCCAUUAUCCCCAAAUCACACAUCUUCUCUAGGAAUGGAAAAUACGCAUUACCCCCAAAUCAUGCAUUUCUCUCCAAAAAUACCCCAUUAACCCCAAAAGCACACAUUUUCUCCUCAGAAAUCCCCCUUUUAACCCCCAAAUCACACAUUUUCUCUUGGAAAAUCCCCCAUUUACCCCAAAAUCAUGCUUUAUCUCUUCAAAAAUACCCCAUUAUCCCCCAAAUCACACAUCUUCUCUAGGAAAAUCCCCCAUUUAACUCGGAAAUCACACUUUUGCUCUUCAAAUAUCCCCCAUUUGACCCCAAAAUCAAACAUUUUUGCUACAAGAAUCCCCCAUGUAUCCAAAAAAUCACGCGUUUCCUCUACAAAAAUCUCACAUGUAAACGAAACUCAUGCAUUUCCUCUUCAAAAAUCCCCCAUUUAACCAGUAGAAAAUGCAAUUUCUCUUCGAGAAUCCCCCAUUGAACCCGAAAAUGAUGCAUUUUCUCUUCAAGAAUCCCUGAUUCAUCCCGAAUAUCACACAUUUUCUCUUCAAAAAUCUCCCAUGUAACCUGAAAAUCACGCAUUAUCUCUACGAAAAUCACACAUUUAAUGCAAACAUCAGGCAUUUUCUCAUUGAGAAUCCGCGAUUUAACUGAAAAUCACACAUUUCUCUUGAAAAAUCCCCAUAACCCGAAAAUCACGCCUUUCU
rnacentral:lncRNA from 7 species